GACAAACGCUGGCGGCGUGCUUAACACAUGCAAGUCGAACGAUGAAGCCGGAGCUUGCUCUGGUGAAUUAGUGGCGAACGGGUGAGUAACACGUAAGUAACCUGCCCUUGACUCUGGGAUAACUGCGGGAAACUGUAGCUAAUACCGGAUACGACCCUCGGAGGCAUCUCCUGGGGGUGGAAAGAAUUUCGGUCAAGGAUGGACUCGCGGCCUAUCAGCUAGUUGGGGAGGUAACGGCUCACCAAGGCGACGACGGGUAGCCGGCCUGAGAGGGUGACCGGCCACACUGGGACUGAGACACGGCCCAGACUCUUACGGGAGGCAGCAGUGGGGAAUAUUGCACAAUGGGCGCAAGCCGGAUGCAGCAACGCCGCGUGAGGGAUGACGGCCUUCGGGUUGUAAACCUCUUUUAGUAGGGAAGAAGCGAAAGUGACGGUACCUGCAGAAAAAGCACCGGCUAACUACGUGCCAGCCGCCGCAGUAA
rnacentral:rRNA from 1 species